rnacentral:rRNA from 1 species
GACGAACGCUGGCGGCGUGCUUAACACAUGCAAGUCGAACGGAAAGGCCCUGCUUUUGUGGGGUGCUCGAGUGGCGAACGGGUGAGUAACACGUGAGUAACCUGCCCUUGACUUUGGGAUAACUUCAGGAAACUGGUGCUAAUACCUGAUAGGAGCUCCUGCUGCAUGGUGGGGGUUGGAAAGUUUCGGCGGUUGGGGAUGGACUCGCGGCUUAUCAGCUUGUUGGUGGGGUAGUGGCUUACCAAGGCUUUGACGGGUAGCCGGCCUGAGAGGGUGACCGGCCACAUUGGGACUGAGAUACGGCCCGGACUCCUACGGGAGGCAGCAGUGGGGAAUAUUGCACAAUGGGCGGAAGCCUGAUGCAGCAACGCCGCGUGCGGGAUGACGGCCUUCGGGUUGUAAACCGCUUUCGCCUGUGACGAAGCGUGAGUGACGGUAAUGGGUAAAGAAGCACCGGCUAACUACGUG